AUUGAACGCUGGCGGCACGCCUAACACAUGCAAGUCGAGCGGUAACAUGGUUGGUAGCAAUACUAUCUGAUGACGAGCGGCGGACGGGUGAGGAACACGUAGGGACCUGACUUUCAGAGGGGGACAACCAAGGGAAACUUUGGCUAAUACCGCAGGAACUCGAGAGAGAAAAGUUGCUUGAAAGAGUGACGCUGAGAGAGGGGCCUGCGUACGAUUAGCUAGUUGGUGAGGUAAAGGCUCACCAAGGCGAUGAUCGGUAACUGGUCUGAGAGGACGACCAGUCACACUGGGACUGAGACACGGCCCAGACUCCUACGGGAGGCAGCAGUGGGGAAUCUUGGACAAUGGGGGCAACCCUGAUCCAGCGAUGCCGCGUGGGUGAAGAAGGCCUUCGGGUUGUAAAGCCCUUUAGGUUGGGAAGAAGUGUGUUAGAGGAAAUGCUAAUACAUUGACGGUACCGACAGAAUAAGCACCGGCAAACUCUGUGCCAGCAGCCGCAGUAACAC
rnacentral:rRNA from 1 species